UGCGUAGGCGGAAUAUUAAGUCAGUGGUGAAAUCCCAGAGCUCAACUCUGGAACUGCCAUUGAUACUGAUAUUCUUGAAUGUAGUUGAGGUAGGCGGAAUGUGUAAUGUAGCGGUGAAAUGCUUAGAUAUUACACAGAACACCGAUUGCGAAGGCAGCUUACUAAACUAUGAUUGACGCUGAGGCACGAAAGCGUGGGGAGCGAACAGGAUUAGAUACCCUGGUAGUCC
rnacentral:rRNA from 1 species